ACACGUCUACAUUAGAUACCCCCGUAGUCCCAGCCGUAAACUAUGCGCGUUAGGUGUAUCGGUGACCACGAGUCACCGAGGUGCCGAAGGGAAACCGUGAAACGUGCCGCCUGGGAAGUACGGCCGCAAGGCUGAAACUUAAAGGAAUUGGUGGGGGAGCACCACAACGGGUGGAGCCUGCGGUUUAAUUGGACUCAACGCCGGGAAGCUCACCGGAUAAGACAGCGGAAUGAUUGCCGGGCUGAAGACUCUGCAUGACUAGCUG
rnacentral:rRNA from 1 species